rnacentral:tRNA from 1 species
AUUUAUAUAGUAUAAUAAGUACCUUUGACUUCCAAUCAAACUGUCUAACAAACCUUUAGUAUAAAUA